UUAAGUUUUUAAGAGCGUACGGUGGAUGCCUUGGCACUAGGAGCCGAAGAAGGACGUGACAAACGACGAUAUGCCUUGGGUAGCUGUAAGUAAGCGAUGAUCCAGGGAUUUCCGAAUGGGGGAACCCAACAGGUACUACCUGUUACCCGCAUCUGUUAAGGAUGUGAGGAGGAAGACGCAGUGAACUGAAACAUCUAAGUAGCUGCAGGAAGAGAAAGCAAAAGCGAUUGCCUUAGUAGCGGCGAGCGAAACGGCAGGAGGGCAAACCGAAGAGUUUACUCUUCGGGGUUGUAGGACUGCAAUGUGGACUCAAAGAUUAUAGAAGAAUGAUUUGGGAAGAUCAGCCAAAGAGAGUAAUAGCCUCGUAUUUAAAAUAGUCUUUGUACCUAGCAGUAUCCUGAGUACGGCGGGACACGCGAAAUCCCGUCGGAAUCUGGGAGGACCAUCUCCCAACCCUAAAUACUCCCUAGUGACCGAUAGUGAACCAGUACCGUGAGGGAAAGGUGAAA
rnacentral:rRNA from 1 species